UCAUCUCCGGGGGUAGAGCACUGUUUCGGCUAGGGGGCCAUCCCGGCUUACCAACCCGAUGCAAACUGCGAAUACCGGAGAAUGUUAUCACGGGAGACACACGGCGGGUGCUAACGUCCGUCGUGAAGAGGGAAACAACCCAGACCGCCAGCUAAGGUCCCAAAGUCAUGGUUAAGUGGGAAACGAUGUGGGAAGGCCCAGACAGCCAGGAUGUUGGCUUAGAAGCAGCCAUCAUUUAAAGAAAGCGUAAUAGCUCACUGGUCGAGUCGGCCUGCGCGGAAGAUGUAACGGGGCUAAACCAUGCACCGAAGCUGCGGCAGCGACACUCAGGUGUUGUUGGGUAGGGGAGCGUUCUGUAAGCCUGCGAAGGUGGCCUGUGAGGGUUGCUGGAGGUAUCAGAAGUGCGAAUGCUGACAUAAGUAACGAUAAAGCGGGUGAAAAGCCCGCUCGCCGGAAGACCAAGGGUUCCUGUCCAACGUUAAUCGGGGCAGGGUGAGUCGACCCCUAAGGCGAGGCCGAAAGGCGUAGUCGAUGGGAAACGGGUUAAUAUUCCCGUACUUGGUGUUACUGCGAAGGGGGGACGGAGAAGGCUAUGUUGGCCGGGCGACGGUUGUCCCGGUUUAAGCGUGUAGGUGUGUGUUCCAGGUAAAUCCGGUUCACUUUAACACUGAGGCGUGAUGACGAGGCACUACGGUGCUGAAGCAACAAAUGCCCUGCUUCCAGGAAAAGCCUCUAAGCAUCAGGUAACAUCAAAUCGUACCCCAAACCGACACAGGUGGUCAGGUAGAGAAUACCAAGGCGCUUGAGAGAACUCGGGUGAAGGAACUAGGCAAAAUGGUGCCGUAACUUCGGGAGAAGGCACGCUGACACGUAGGUGAAGUGAUUUACUCAUGGAGCUGAAGUCAGUCGAAGAUACCAGCUGGCUGCAACUGUUUAUUAAAAACACAGCACUGUGCAAACACGAAAGUGGACGUAUACGGUGUGACGCCUGCCCGGUGCCGGAAGGUUAAUUGAUGGGGUCAGCGCAAGCGAAGCUCCUGAUCGAAGCCCCGGUAAACGGCGGCCGUAACUAUAACGGUCCUAAGGUAGCGAAAUUCCUUGUCGGGUAAGUUCCGACCUGCACGAAUGGCGUAAUGAUGGCCAGGCUGUCUCCACCCGAGACUCAGUGAAAUUGAACUCGCUGUGAAGAUGCAGUGUACCCGCGGCAAGACGGAAAGACCCCGUGAACCUUUACUAUAGCUUGACACUGAACAUUGAGCCUUGAUGUGUAGGAUAGGUGGGAGGCUUUGAAGUGUGG
rnacentral:rRNA from 2 species